UGCAAAAUGCUGUCACGUGAGAAAAGACAAAUUGUUUUUCUAUUUCAAAUUUAAGUGCGCCCGUAGUAAGUGGAGAACUGCGGCUGCCUACACCAAAUCAUUUGCCCUCCGUAACCACUAACUACACUUUAUUAGCCCACACCAAACUACACGCAGACACUAUUUGCCACGAAUACACGCCACCGAUUUAUCAGCUCAUAAUUCACUUUUACGCUUUCCCCAAACUGCCCUUAUUAUUUAAAAACAAAUUCACUUUUUCAAACUAUGGAAAUUCGGAAAAUCUGCCAACUAAAGUUUGACUCUCGUUAAGGACAGAAUCGUCGUUUUGCUGUAAUGUGAAAGAUCAGGAAGUCAAAAGUUUGAAAGAAAAGGGCAUUUCAGUCAAAGGAAACAAAUCCGAUGGCCGAUGAAUUUCCCGAUCCGGAAAAUUAAGGGUAUAAUUGUCAGGAUGUGAAAUUAAACAUUCCUAAAUUAAAAGAGAAGCAAAAUAUUGAUGGUCGUAAUGAAUAAGAAAGUAAAUAACCAGCUCAUGAAGGGUCAGUUUCGUCAAUUUAGAAAUAAAUGACACCAAAUAGACCAAACCGAGUCGCCGAGUCAAACCGUUCUCAAAAAAAUAAAACAGCAGCAAAAAAUGGCAAAACAAACCUUAGAUCUCGCGGUGUCAACAGUUUUAUUGGUAGCAGGUAAACAAGACGACUCUUCAAAUCCACCGCCGCUGACGGAGGAAGUGCCGCCGCUCCAAGAAAGCGGCGUGGUAGGACUAGCACGGGUAGCCGCGUCACUUUUCUUCCUAGAAAUUUGCUUGGACCGCCGCUGUCUAACGCUCCAGUCAAUUUUCAACGCCGGAGAAAAAGCUUUAUACGGUUGCUGCGGCGGGGACAGAGAGGAAGAAGAGACGGUUUGUUUAAGGGCGGAGAGGAGCUGAACGACGAGAGUGUCGUCGGUGAAAGCGAGCUGAACCCAGUCGUCUUCUUGAGCAGACAUGGUGAUAAAAUAGUAAAUAUUGUGAUGUUGGUGGUGGAUUGUAGAGAGAGAAAGUGUAGAGAGAGAAAGUGAGGUGGAAAUUGGAAUGAAUGAAGAAUGAAGGGUAUUUAUGCGGUGGAAUGGGUGCUUUAAUUUCUUCUUCUUCUUGACAUUUCAUUUUACUUUCUUCUCCUUUUUGUGGAUUGGUUUUUGUUUUUGUAUUUUUUCUUUUAGUUAUUAUUGAUAGAUUUUGGGUCCCACUUACCAUGUCCACAUGGCAUUUAAAUUGUCACUGUUUUUUUAA